rnacentral:lncRNA from 1 species
ACACCCACCUCCCUGCUGUUCCUCACCCAGGAUCACCAAGGUCUCUCCUACCCCGGGGCCUGUGCACCUGCUGUGCCUCUGCUUGGGGUGCUCUUCCCAGGGCUUGCCCACCUCCUCAGAGAGGCCUCCUGACCCCUGACACGGCCUUGCCCUUCACCUCUAUCGUCCUUUAGAACAGCCCCCACCUCCCGCACAUCAUGCAGUUGCAGGUUCAAUGGCUACUGCUUGUCCUCCAGACUCGAUAGGCCUCAUCACUCCUCAGAUGAUUCUCGAAGGAUAACACACAGGCCAGUGGGCAGCCCUAGGCCAGGGGGAUUACCAAGACAUGAAGACUUUCUUUCUGUCUCAGCAACCUUCAUGCUUGGUCAAGCAAAGGUGUUGCUUAAGUCAAACCCAGGGCAGGGGAGAGCAGUUGAAGCAAAGUGAGUCUUUGGAGGCCCUGUGGUUGUGGGGUCUGGUGUGGAGACAGUGAGAACGGAAAAGGUGGGAGAGGAGCAGUCAACCCGUGAAUGGCCCCAUUCAGACGCCUUUACCUGGAAGACGUGGCAGGUCUACUGGGGUUCAUCCCAUCUGAGCCAGGCCUGGCUUUUCUUGGCUGCAAGCUGAGAGCUGGGUCCAGGUCUGCUGAACCAAGGUUCUCCCAUCUUCCUUGAGCCAGUGACAAUCAGAGGCCUAUUUCUUUCAUGACGGAAGGCAGGAGAACAAGCAGGACAAGAAAACAGACUCCACCUCUAGGUGCACAAACUACAGAGUCACGGACAGAGAACACAGAUCUAGGGAAGGAAGCUGGAGAAUGAGAACAAUGACCCUCAAUAACACAACCUCCCACAGGUUUCCAAAUCCCCAACCUGAGCAUAUUUCCAAGGAAACGGAAUCAUGGGUUCAGGGUUUUAGAGCAAGCAAUUUCUGCUCUCCCAGCUUAGUUUCCAUACCCUUAACACAGGGGCAAUGACGUCGCAUCGAAUCAUAUCUUAUAAGUCUGUGAUGAUGUUUCAACAACUGAACGCCAGAAAAGUGCUUAGAGCAAGGCCAGCUCCCGGCUCACCCACCCAGCAGCUCAGCACCUGCGAAAUCCGUCUCCCGAUGCACACUUGCUAACCGCGUGGGUGUGAGCACAACGAUGGGAAACAGCGGAAGUCCCCGGAGUGCAGACUCAGGAGUGAACCUGCCUGAAGAGUGGCGUCUAACGCACACACUGUGGUCAGCUCCACCCCACUAUGGGUCCCGGGAAUAGGAGCAAGUAUGUAUUUUGCUUGCAGGGCAGGUGUUUCAUCCACAUUAUUGCAGGAACAGAUGAAUUUAAUUAAAAGAACACCACAGUGGGCACCUCUUCCAGGGAUGUCUCCCUCUAAGAACAUGACACUGAGAUGAUCAAGGUUCUAAAAGGGCGAUCAAAUUACUCUCCGAAAAUGAAACUGCUCAGACAGAAUGACAAUUAAAUUAAUAACAACCAAGACAAUGCCCAGAUUUCAUCUCCGCUCACAGCCCCUCCUGUGUGCUGUAUGAUCAGGUUCUUGGGGUGGCUCCAGAUACAGCAAACAGUCAGGAUUAAUCCACAAGAGUGAGCUGUCAGCAUGAGGUUCCCCUACAGUGGAGCUUGCCAAGGUCCGUGCCUCCCAGGGCACCCGUUCCAGGGCUAACAGAUGAAGCAUGGAAAUGCUGUGUGGAGUGAGCUAAGCAGCCGUUCUCAGGAGAAAACAGACAAAUCCUCCUGCAUCCUGGCAAACCAGCUUUGUGGCCUGUUUUAUGUCAUCUUUGCUGAGCUCCACCGGGUCACCCCUCCUGUUGGCUUUGUGAUACUGACAUUUCAGGCACUGGCACAGAUACAUUGGCCUUCCUGGCUGGGAUUUCACGGACGGAGUGAGCAGUGCUGGCUUGGAGGAGCCGUGGCGGCACAGGGCCUGUGCUCUCAGCUGAUCAACGCCUUGAUAGCCAGGAAAGGCCUGUCCUACCCCAAAGGGCCCUCGCAGCACUGUUUGAAAUUGCUCUUGCCAUCUUUGGAAUGGAUUCCUCAGUACAUUUCAGACUCGUUGUUGUGACUUUGGUUUUAAUCCAGGGACACACCGUGGCCAGUGGAGUGUCUCAACAGCAUCUAUGAUCGCUGUUUCCCAGAGACAGCAUCUCAGAUACCGAUGCUGAAAGAGAAACAGCAGCCUGUCCCCAAGUGGCAGGAAAUAGUCCAUUUUAAUGGCAAUUUCAUAAGUGGCAGAUGAUUUUUAUUGUAAUUUUCUGGUGAGCUGAUUAAGUGGAGGCAGAGUCAGUUCUGAGGCGUCAAUGUCUUUAACAAUUCGGGGAGACGGAGGCCACGCUCAGCAGGAACACUGAGUCCAUGGAAAACAGGCCCUGGGCCCGCUGAUGUGCAUAAUUCCACGUUUGCCCCUCAUGUAACCAGGAUGGUAAAUUACAGGUGUCAGAUAAUCACGCUCUGGAGUGGCUACUUGAGGAUGCGAUCGACCAAUUUAAGCUCCGUCUGACACAUGAUCAAUAGCCCGUGAUGCUGCAUGGAAUUGCAGGCACAGUGUCCAAACCUGCAGAGCAGUGGCUCCCAGCUGGGGCAACUUUGCCCCCCAGAGGACAUUUGGCAAUGUCUGGAUAUGUUUGCAAUUGUCACAACUAGGAAAGGAGGUACCCAUAGGAUACACAGGAAAGUCCUCACACAGUUGUAUCCUGCCCAGACUGUCCGUAGAGCCAGGGUGAGAUGCUCUGACAGAGCCACAGUGAACAUUGCAUUCCAUCAUCUGGGUAUCUCCAGGAAUGUAUGUAGCUGGAUGUCUGGCUUUUCAUCUGGGUUUCACGAGCCUCCUGCAGAACUGAAACCAUGUGCAAAUCAGUUCUCAUACUUGCUCUCCUGCCUCCUUCCUAUUGUAAUUUUUUCUUCCCACCUUUUUUAUUGUUACUAGAGAAAUGAUGAAGAAAAAGAAUAGGCUGGAGAGUCACUCAAAAUUUUGUUUUCCUCAAUUAAAAAGAAGUAAUUUAGAAGUUACUCAAUGAUGUUUUCUUUAAUUAAAAAAAAAAGUAGUUUGGGAAAGCAGAAAAUUAAUGAAGACAGAAAACACAGGUUUCAUGAAAAAGUUCAGCAUCCCAGGAAAGGAGCAAAGAGAAGUCUGCAGAUGAGAGUUGCUCAGUGUCAGGACUCAGAAAACAAUACCCCAAGAUAAUGUUCAAACCUGAGUGCUUUGAACAAAGGAUAUUGAAAGACCUCAGAAGAGGGCCUCAGAACUCACAUGUCUCUCUGACCUUCUCCUGUCUCUCCUUCACUUCCAAAGCAUGAUCUUUGGCCAGGGGAUCUCUCUGGGAUUCCCUUAUCUGCCUGAGGGAUGUACUUCCAAAAGAAAUGUGACUGGCAUGACCUCCUCCCUAGGAAUCUCUUCAAACAGCCGGGAAAGACUGGUCACCUGAGAGGAGAUUGGAAGUCCUCACUGCACUCAGAAAGGCUGUUGUCCAUUCUUCUAGAGACUUUAUCUGAAUAACAAGGCAACUUUUGUUUACCAUUCAGUUCCUCCCCUUUCCUUUCUAACUUGUCACCACCUCCCCCAAAAGCCUCAAGCCUCCACUCCUACAAGCUAUAAAGACUUCAACCAUCUGGCUUCUCAAAAAAAAAAAAAAAAAA